ACUCAACGUAUUUUUCUUCUGCUAUAUAAGCCAACCCCAUUCUCUGUAGAGUAGACCUUUACUGAAGUCUUCCAGCUGUCUACAUUCUCAGCACCAACUGAACUACCUGAACUUUCAAGAUGUUCACCUUUAAGAAAACCAUGUUAGUCCUUUUCUUUCUUGGGAUCGUCUCCUUAUCUCUCUGUGAGCAAGAGAGAGAAGCCGAUGAAGAUGAAAAUGGAGAGGAAGUUGCACAGAAAGAAGUAAAACGAGAUGCCUAUAAUGACCUUAAGGCUAUGUGCGCGAGGAUAAAUAAUGCACUUCCAAUGUGUAUGCCGUUCUGGAAGAAGUAAAACUUGAAUUGAAAGUCAUCUGAUGUGGAAUAUCAUUUGGCUAAACGUCUGAUAAAAAAUAAAAAUAUCACACACACA